AUCAACUUUCGAUGGUAGGAUAGAGGCCUACCAUGGUGGUAACGGGUAACGGGGAAUUAGGGUUCGAUUCCGGAGAGGGAGCCUGAGAAACGGCUACCACAUCCAAUGAAGGCAGCAGGCGCGCAAAUUACCCAAUCCCGACACGGGGAGGUAGUGACAAUAAAUAACAAUACGGGGCUCUUUCGGGUCUCGUAAUUGGAAUGAGUACAAUUUAAAUCCCUUAACGAGGAACAAUUGGAGGGCAAGUCUGGUGCCAGCAGCCGCGGUAAUUCCAGCUCCAAUAGCGUAUAUUAAAGUUGUUGCAGUUAAAAAGCUCGUAGUUGAAUUUCGGGAUCAAUAUUUCGGUCAUGCCGUUGGUAUGCACUGUUAUCAUUGAUUUCUCACCUUCUAAAGAACCGUAAUGCCAUUAAUUUGGUGUUACGGGGAAUUAGGACUGUUACCUUGAAAAAAUUAGAGUGUUUAAAGCAGGCUCACGCUUGAAUACAUUAGCAUGGAAUAAUAGAAUAGGACGUGUGGUUCUAUUUUGUUGGUUUCUAGGAUCACCGUAAUGAUUAAUAGGGAUAGUUGGGGGCAUUAGUAUUCAAUUGUCAGAGGUGAAAUUCUUGGAUUUAUUGAAGACUAACUACUGCGAAAGCAUUUGCCAAGGAUGUUUUCAUUAAUCAAGAACGAAAGUUAGGGGAUCGAAGACGAUCAGAUACCGUCGUAGUCUUAACCAUAAACUAUGCCGACUAGGAAUCAGACGAUGUUAAUUUUUUAAUGACUCGUUUGGCACCUUACGGGAAACCAAAGUGUUUGGGUUC
rnacentral:rRNA from 1 species